rnacentral:lncRNA from 1 species
AAAGGUACAUUGAAUGGAAAAGAAAGUAUACUAAAAUCAAACACAAAUGUAUCUUUUGUUACAUUUAACGACAGCAUAUUCUUAGGUGUAUAGCAAAGGCAUCUUCUUAGAGAUGAUAUGAUAUUUGAUGUAUCAAAAGAAAUGGAAGUUCCCUGAAGACUAUUCUUUGUGUUGUCACUAUAUUAUAGCACGAGGAGUGAAAGGCUUCUAUCCUAGACAAGUUUCUUAAUAUCUCUGGCCAAAUUAUAUUUUAGCUAAAAUAUCAGUUGUGAAACAAGUAAAGAGAACUAGCUAGAUGUUCUAGUCGUUGCUUAUUAAAGUUUUCAGCUUCAUGACUAUGUCAUCGGACCGAGUGCAGAAACUGUUGGACUAAUCUGUGGCAUGUUUGAGCAAAUCAAUUGAAUACUUUAUACUUCCCAGGUCCAACUUGGUUAGACAUGUGAGAAGUAUAUUCUUCCUAUGUGCAUGUUAAAGUGCCAUGGAUUAUGCUAUCGAGUAGGAAAGAACACUUUUACCUCCUGUUGUUGUCGUUGUUGUUGGAUGUAUAUAUAUUUCACAUGAUGUAUCGAAGCUCAUGGUCAAGUUAUUUUCAAACUUCUUUUUCUCCUUAUCUAUUUUCUAUGAGUAGCGCUACAUCACUGCAUAAGGAGAGGUCAUCUUAGCUUAUCUUGUGCCUAUUAUUUCUUAUCUUGUGGUCUCUCCUCUUUCUGAAACUAUAUCUUACGAAUAUCAGAUUUCUGUCAAAUAGCCUCAAUCUGAUUGAAUCAGUAAGGCUCUUAAUUAGCUAGUCCUCUCAGAGACGACAGUUGACUGUUCGCUUUGCUGUCACGGCUAAUAUAGCUAUGCUGCAAAAGUCAAGAAAGUAAUUAGCAAUUUUUGCCACUUCUGAGGAUGCAUUGACUUAUGCAGUAAUGCUUCAAAUGGGUGCUAACAUCAAUGAUUGAAGUUCCUGCAAGUGUGCGAGCUUGUGUUAACCAUGCAACUUUCAAUUUUUUUUAAUUUUUUUUUUAUUUUCUAUAUUGAUGUUGUUACUGCUUAUUGCUACUGCUCCUUUUCAUUUUGUCCUUGAGCCGAGGGUCUUCAGAAACAACAUCUCUACCUCUACGAGGUAGGGGUAAGGUCUGCGUACACACUACCCUCCUCAGAAACCACCGCCACUUGUGAGAUUAUAGUGGGUAUGUUGUUGUUGGCUAAAGUGCAACUUUCAGUUAUCCUUUACUCAAAAGACUUAUCAAGUGUGAUAAUUGCCAGCUGCUUAGACUUUGGUCCUUGAAGCUUACAUGUCCUGGGCACGAAGGUGUCACAUUACUCAUAAUUAAUUGGUUAGGUAAUCUGAUAUUUCAAUGUUGACUGCUUUUGUAGCAUGACAUUUCAUUGCAGUAGUUGGCAGGAUGAUAUGAACUGGACUUGCUGAAAAUUCUGUAAAAUUUCCUUUUGUUGGAGUUUCAGAAGAAAUCACUGACAGGACAAAGAUCAAAUUUUGGAGUCAUAGCGGUUACUAUACUCAAAUAUCAUGUACUAGUUGUUAACAAAUUUUAUGCAGUCUGCUGAUGAUGGAAAAUAUCCUUGAUAUAAGUGUGUUAAGAGUAGACAAGUACCUUUUUAGCUGCGAAUAAUUCAAAUAUGUAAAAUGCCCUUUUAAACCGCGUUUUACUUCCAAAAAUUUGACCUUCCCGGAUUGGGCAUUGCCUUAUUUAAAGGCGUUAAGGUUUUUGAGAAAAAUCAUUCAGAAAUACUCCAACUUUGUGAUAAAUUUUUCUUGUUAUUAAAUUCUCAAGCUUUUUUGAAGAGCAAAAAGUAAGGGUUUCAUUAUAUUAGGGGGGAAGGGGUGAGGUUGUGGUGGUGAAUAACUCUGUGAGCUAUAAUUUAUCUCCAUAGAGUCAUGUUAAGUUGCCACUUACAAUGGAGUACGAUAGACUAACAUCGUUGUUAUGCAAUAAAAUGAGAUUGAGCAAGCGUCCGGUGAAUCUUAAAGUAACCAGAAGAUAUCCGUAUGCUGUGACUUUGCAAGGGGUUGCUUGUUACGUUGAGUUUAACAUCGAGGAUGAUGAAACUCUGAGAGAUUUUUUGGGGACUCCGGAUGAAUACUGGGAACUUAUUUUGGUAAAAAUGUUGGAAAUGCAUGUGACGCAUGAAGGUGUUCGCAAUAAUGAUGUUGCGCAGAUCAGUGAUAACCCUCAAUUAUCGGGUAGUUAUUCUGGAGCAGUUGUAGCCCAACAGGUUUCGACUGAAAGAGUUUGGUCGGAUCUAAACUUAUCUCCACAAGAGAACGAGAAGCGAGGAAAUAAUUUCUCUCCUACUUUACAUAAUCCACAAGACGACUGGUAAACUUCAAUUUUUCUUUAUGUUACAAUGUUUAUUUUUUUGUAUUGAAUUUGUAUUAACACUCAUAUAUUCCACAUGGGGCACCGUCCAGAUAUAAAUUUUACAAGUUAUGACCCCACGCCCAGUUGGAAUAUGGGUAGUUUUGGUGUGUUGAAUCACGAUGGUCCAUCCGAGAGUCAUCACCAACAAGAUAAUGUCCAUCAUGGAAUGUCAACACAUUAUGACUUGUAAGUGAAGUGAUACAGCUAUAUAUAAAGUAUUUAUCCUGACCUCACUCAGUUGCCGGUAGACGACAUAUUUAUUCGGGAUUUGGCAGAUGCGCAGAGUCAGGAAGAUAAUAGUGAUUAUGACAACAAUGCCGAUGAGUUUGGAGAUGACACACCCUUCCCUAAGGAGGGUGGUGAUGAGGAGGAAGUGAAUGUCGAACCUGAGCUGACGAGGGAGCAUGCUCCACCUCUAGUUAGACCAAGAGUGUACGAGUCUCACGUGCCGUUUCAUUCAAGGCGUAUUCUCUACCUUGAUAAUUUGCCAAGUAUGCCGGAUGUGGAUGCCCUCACAAGGGAUCUUGACGAAAUUCGGUCAACAAUGUGGGAUGAGUCUAGAACAACAGUGCUGACAAAAGACAUAUUUUUUCCCGAUAAAGCUCGCCUAUCCAGGGCUUGUAAAAUGUAUAAUGUAAGAGAGUGUCGUGAGAUGAUAGUAUGAGAGUUAAGUCCGGAUGUAUACAAGGUUGUUUGCCGUAGAUGGUUUACGGGUUGUCACUGGAUGCUGCGUGCGAGCAAGAAGGAAACAAGGUUGUGAAAAGUGGGUUAAUAUAUUAGCACCCACAAUUGUGAAGUGGACACAUUCAAUGGGAAUCACUUCAACUUGAAUGUUGACUUGAUUUUUCUUCAACUGAUUCCACACUUGGAAGUAUCCAUUAGGUACAAGAUCAAAGAAUGUAUUACAUCCAUCCACCAGGAAUAUGGGUGUACUAUUACCAAAAGAAAGGCAUAUCUCGGGCGCAAACGUGCAUUUGAAAUUGUUUAUGGUGACUAGGAUAAGUCAUUUGCAUCUCUACUCAGGUACAUGGCCAUACUGAAACACUUUAACCCCGGGACUAUUGUUGAAUGGAAGCUUGAGCAGAGUGCAGGAAUCCCGGAAUAUAUAUUUAAAUACAUGUUUUGGGCAUUUAAACCAGCAAUUGAUGGUUUUGUGCAUUGUCGUUGUCACACCUUCUUUUUCCUACCCCGGGAAGGGUAUAAGAGAAUUUUUCCAAUUUAAGUGACAAUCGAAACAUGAUUUAUUUAUUUAUUCAGAGUCGCCACUUGGAAUGAUUUAUGGUGUCCCAAGUCACCGAUUUAAUAUCCCAAAUUGAGGAAGUUUGACUCUUAUUUAUGGUCCGCGAAUACAGAAAUCUGGGUAAGAAAUUCUAUUAACCCGACAGAAGGUGUUAGGCAUUCCCGAGUUUCGUGGUUCUAGCACGGUCGCUCAACUAUUAUUAUUGGCCUAAUUAUCUGAUUUAAUUACACAUUUUAAACCUACGUGCCCUUUUAACUUUUUAACCGCUUUUAAUAUUUCAGGAAAUUUUAAGGUUAUUUAAAACACAUCGUAAGCCACGCUACAUGAAAUGCACCCGUGAUUUACGACACGUUCUAUUUAACCUUGUUGGAAAUUGGAACCAGGUCACAUGAAAUGUAUACCCGGAUUUUAGUAAUAGCCGUGAUAAUUAUAUAAUUAACGCGCCUAAAGUAAACUACGAAGUUCAUUAUGUUCAUCUCUUAUGGUGAUUGUGAGUGAAAAAGGCCUGUAAUUAUGGAGUACUUUUACUAAAAGAGAUUUCAUGCUCGUGUCCUUUUAACUUUUCAUUCCAUGCAUUCGACCAAGCCCAAUUCCUAAAAUAUGUGAGCAAAUUAACAUUAAUUGGCCCAAAUCUUUACCUCAACUCCCCUAUCAUUAUAUUUCAUCAAACUCCAACUUGUUAUCAACUACAAACAAGAAUUAACACCAAAUAGAAUCAAUUCAAAUACAACUACCCUUAAUUUCCUUCCCUACCGUGAUUUACUUUGCGUUCUCGAUGAAUUUUACCCAAACUUAUUAAACCAAACAUAUCAUGUGUUCAUCAUUCUAAAACUAACCAACUAAUUCAUGCUGCCGAGAAGGAAAUGAAAUGAGCAAAGGCAUCUUUAAGGAAAUGAAUCGAGCAGAAACAACAUGGCUGACCAACAACACAUAACAUAUUUAAGGAAGACAAUUCAUAUAAACUCAUUGCUUCUACUGGCCUUAACUCCCAUUAUCUAUCUCUAAACGGAUUUAAAAAAAUUCAGAACUCUAGAUCCAACUAUUAUCAUAAUUUAAUCACAUCAAAAUAGAGCAAAAGAAUCAGAAACGAACCCGAAAUAGCCUCUUGAUUGAUCAACAAAAUCCAAUAAUUACAUGAACGAAAUGGAACCAUAGCCUCAAUCAGAAAUCAAAAAGCAAUCUGACCCGAACGGAAUCGCGAACCAAAUCAGAAUCACCAACUUAAACCUUAUGAUUGGACCUCGAACUCAACCUCAGAUAACACUCCGAAUCAACCCGAGAUGGCUCUAAGAUUCAAACGGACUCCAUUAUUUUCGAAGCAAAAAUUCAAAAGAAAAGAAAAACUAUUUUUGUGUGAAGCUGCCCGUGCUCUUUUCUCUCCCCUGUUUUGAAUUUGCAAGGCUGUCUGUCAACCAGUGGUGAAAUCCGGCGACAGCAGUGACGGCCAGAAAUGGAGCUUAAAGGUCUGGCAGCUGUUUUCUUCUCGUUUUUUUUUUUUAAAAAAAGUGAGAGAUGGAAAAAUUAAGAGGGGCGACUAGUGGUGGCCGUUUGGUUCGCCGGCGAUUUGCGACAACGUUGAAAGAGGAAAGGAGUUCCGGUGUAUUUGAGUGGUGUGGCUGGAGAAGGGUGGUCGUUGUGGCUGAUUUGGUCAUUUUGAGAUGGGGCGUUUGGGUGANNNNNN